rnacentral:tRNA from 1 species
GCAGUGGUGGCUCAGGGGUAGAUCUCUCGCCUUCCACACGGGAGCCCUGGGUUUCAUUCCCGGCCAGUGCA